GUAGGUGGCAAGCGUUGUCCGGAAUUAUUGGGCGUAAAGCGCGCGCAGGCGGUUCUUUAAGUCUGAUGUGAAAGCCCACGGGCUCAACCGUGGAGGGUCAUUGGAAACUGGAGAACUUGAGUACAGAAGAGGAAAGCGGAAUUCCACGUGUAGCGGUGAAAUGCGUAGAGAUGUGGAGGAACACCAGUGGCGAAGGCGACUUUCUGGUCUGUAACUGACGCUGAGGCGCGAAAGCGUGGGGAGCAAACAGGAUUAGAUACCCUGGUAGUCCACGCCGUAAACGAUGAGUGCUAAGUGUUAGGGGGUUUCCGCCCCUUAGUGCUGCAGCUAACGCAUUAAGCACUCCGCCUGGGGAGUACGGCCGCAAGGCUG
rnacentral:rRNA from 1 species